ensembl:snoRNA
UUACAAGAAGACACCCAUCUCCUGCUAUUUGGCAGAAUGAGUAAGACCACACUCCACAGCGGGCUAUAACCACCUAGUAUGGUUCAUUACUAUCUUGUGGCCUACACU